UACGUAGGGGGCUAGCGUUGUCCGGAAUCAUUGGGCGUAAAGAGCGCGUAGGCGGCCAGAUAAGUCCGGUGUGAAAGUCAGAGGCUCAACCUUUGAAUGCCGCUGGAAACUGUCUGGCUAGAGUCCGGAAGAGGCGAGUGGAAUUCCUGGUGUAGCGGUGGAAUGCGCAGAUAUCAGGAGGAACACCGAUGGCGAAGGCAGCUCGCUGGGACGGUACUGACGCUGAGGCGCGAAAGCGUGGGGAGCAAACAGG
rnacentral:rRNA from 1 species